UACGUAGGGGGCAAGCGUUAUCCGGAAUUAUUGGGCGUAAAGAGUACGUAGGUGGCAACCUAAGCGCAGGGUUUAAGGCAAUGGCUCAACCAUUGUUCGCCCUGCGAACUGGGAUGCUUGAGUGCAGGAGAGGAAAGCGGAAUUCCUAGUGUAGCGGUGAAAUGCGUAGAUAUAUGGAAGAACACCAGUGGCGAAGGCGACUUACUGGACUGUAACUGACGCUGAGGCAUGAGAGCAUGGGGAGCAAACAGG
rnacentral:rRNA from 1 species